UGGGGAAUAUUGCACAAUGGAGGGAACUCUGAUGCAGCGACGCCGCGUGAACGAAGAAGGCUUUCGAGUCGUAAAGUUCUUUUAUAUGGGAAGAUAAUGACGGUACCAUAAGAAGAAGCCCGGCUAACUACGUGCCAGCAGCCGCGGUAAUACGUAGGGGGCUAGCGUUGUCCGGAAUCACUGGGCGUAAAGGGUUCGCAGGCGGAAAUGCAAGUCAGGUGUAAAAGGCAGUAGCUUAACUACUGUAAGCAUUUGAAACUGCAUAUCUUGAGAAGAGUAGAGGUAAGUGGAAUUUUUAGUGUAGCGGUGAAAUGCGUAGAUAUUAAAAAGAAUACCGGUGGCGAAGGCGACUUACUGGGCUCAUUCUGACGCUGAGGAACGAAAGCGUGGGUAGCAAACAGG
rnacentral:rRNA from 1 species